CUUACUCUUUCUUUUUUAAUCAUCUUAUUCAUUUGCCAGUCAUUUCUAGGUAGAUGACUCCCAACACGUACAUCGGGGUCUCCCCCUCCAGUGAAUUCCAGAUCUGAAUCUCACCUCCUGACUCCACGUGUUUGGACGUCUCUCCUAUACCUCUCGCACCUCAAACACAAUGCAGUGAAACCCCAGGUUUUUGGGGAAGAGAUGGUGUUUGGUUACAUGAAACUGACAUUUGAGUUAAGAAAAAUUUAAUUAUGUUCCUGGGCCAUUAAUCUGAAGAUAAUCACGAAUGGAAAUCUCUAUUAUUAAAGCUCUUGUAAUAAUGA